rnacentral:tRNA from 1 species
UCGGCGCCUGGGUCGGACUGGCCGUGGUGCUGGCACUACUGUUCCCACAGUUGGAGACCGUGGUGCAGAA